ensembl:lncRNA
ACUGUAUCAAUUAGAAGCUGCAGCUCUAAUAAUCACAGAGAUGUUUCUUAAUAGUUUAUUAUGCGUUUUUCUUCACUUUAGAAAAAACUAAGAAGGGGAGGAAAAGGAAAGCAGUGCAUGCGUUCUUCUGGAGACUCCGUAAGGCUGUAAAGCACCUCUUCCUCUGCCGUGACUCGACUCAAACACCUGUCGAAGUCCCAUCUGAGAUGAAGUCAGUGGAUGACGACAUCCCUGUGGAGCCGGAGCCGGAGCCGGUCUGUCUGAGCAGGUCUGAGCAGGUCUGUGCAGCUCUCCAGUCCUCCACGUCUGUGCAAGCAGCCGACGCAGAUCAAGCCGCUCCAGUGUUGAUGCAUGUCUCAGAUUCAUCCGAUUCAGAGAUCAGUCUGGAUUGUGGAUCUAGAGUGUGUCUCUUUCUGGUGGGAGAGCUUCUAGGAUACGGGAGUUUUGGCAAGGUGUAUGAGGGAACCCACAUAUUUGAUGAUAGAAUUAAGGUCGCCAUGAAGUACAUCCACAAGCACAAAAAUGACCGCCGUCUUCACGUUAUCUUCUAAGUGACGAGUUGCUCAAAGUCCACUGUUUGUCUUUUGCUAGGCUGGUCAUUCCAAAC